UUGAUGUAAAUAUUUAGUACUCUUUGCUAAUACCUAAAUCUCCCAAUCACUAAAGAAUUACCUCACUAGUGAUGAAAAAUAACAGUACAGGACUCCUUUGAAGCUUUGUAAUUGAAAUGAAUACACUUUACAACCUUUAAUGAGGAUCCAUUGGAAGGCAAGUCUGGUGCCAACAGCUGAGGUAAUUCUAGCACCAAGAGUAUAUAUUAAAGUAAAUGCAGUAAAAAAAUGCUCAUAGCUGGAUCAUUGGAUUGAUGUGACAGUCUGGCACUGCCUGUCCCAGCCCCUGCUUCUCAUCUCCUUUACAAUGCUCUAAGUUGGAUUUCCAGAGGGGUCUGAAGCAUUUAUUUUGAAAAAAAUUAGUGUUCUAAGCAGUCCCGAGUCUCUGGGAUAGUUACCUAGCAAUGAUGAUUUUUUUUUUUUUCA
rnacentral:ncRNA from 1 species